UACGGGGGGAGCAAGCGUUGUUCGGAUUUACUGGGCGUAAAGGGCGCGUAGGCGGCCUCUGCAAGUCGACUGUGAAAUCUCCGGGCUUAACCCGGAAAGGUCAGCCGAUACUGCAGGCUAGAGUGCAGAAGGGGCAACUGGAAUUCUCGGUGUAGCGGUGAAAUGCGUAGAUAUCGAGAGGAACACCUGCGGCGAAGGCGGGUUGCUGGGCUGACACUGACGCUGAAGUGCGAAAGCUAGGGGAGCGAACGGG
rnacentral:rRNA from 1 species